rnacentral:rRNA from 1 species
UUAACACAUGCAAGUCGAACGGAUUAUUCUUUAUAGCUUGCUAUAAAGAAUAAUUAGUGGCAGACGGGUGAGUAAUGCAUAGGAAUCUACCUAGUAGUAUGGGAUAGCCACUAGAAAUGGUGGGUAAUACUGUAUAAUCCCUGCGGGGGAAAGAUUUAUCGCUAUUAGAUGAGCCUAUGUUAGAUUAGCUAGUUGGUAGGGUAAAGGCCUACCAAGGCGAUGAUCUAUAGCUGGUCUGAGAGGAUGAUCAGCCACACUGGAACUGAGAUACGGUCCAGACUCCUACGGGAGGCAGCAGUGGGGAAUAUUGGACAAUGGGCGCAAGCCUGAUCCAGCUAUGCCGCGUGAGUGAGGAAGGCCUUAGGGUUGUAAAACUCUUUCAGUAGGGAAGAUAAUGACGGUACCUACAGAAGAAGUCCCGGCAAACUCCGUGCCAGCAGCCGCGGUAAUACGGAGGGGGCAAGCGUUGUUCGGAAUUAUUGGG